UACGUAGGGUGCAAGCGUUAAUCGGAAUUACUGGGCGUAAAGCGUGCGCAGGCGGUUGUGUAAGACAGAUGUGAAAUCCCCGGGCUCAACCUGGGAACUGCAUUUGUGACUGCACAGCUUGAGUGCGGCAGAGGGGGAUGGAAUUCCGCGUGUAGCAGUGAAAUGCGUAGAUAUGCGGAGGAACACCGAUGGCGAAGGCAAUCCCCUGGGCCUGCACUGACGCUCAUGCACGAAAGCGUGGGGAGCAAACAGG
rnacentral:rRNA from 1 species